GGAUUGGGAUAUUCCGACUCCUUAAGGGCCUGGCGCACAUAAGGUGUGACCUUUUCAUUCCCGUUGUUAUGGAGGGCCACAUCUGCCAGAGCCUGGAGUCUGCGAAGGCCGGGACCCGGUUCCCCGGCCCACAGUGGGGGUGUGCAAACCCGAGAGAACUGGAUUGCGUACCCACUGCAGAGUGCUGAAGACGGGGUAGCCACGAGUCAAGUCUUCACCACUUGCUGGUUCCCAGGAGUAAACUUGUUUGAACGGUGACCUAAUUGCUAUAUUCACCUAGGUUGCAAAUUCGUGAAGAAUCAGCAUCAUGUUUGGCAGCUGAGUAUUGGAGCCAGGAGCCUGCCAUGAGGUUUUGAGAACAGAGUGCUGUUUUAGAGCUGGCAGCAGCAUCUCAGCCCAAGAGAAGGUUAUAUUCCCAGAGGAUGUCAGUCCCAAGGACCAGUAGCUGCCAUCAGUUUGGAUUCUGAAAACUAACUGGCAUCAACACUGGGUGUAGAAACAUGCUUGCCUUAUGUAUCAGAGGACAUGCUCAGCAGAUCCAAGAGAUAUAUUUGGCAACUUUUUCUAGAAAAGGCACAUUGGGUAUCAUUCAUUACAUUCUUGAGUUUUUUUGGGUUUUUUUUUUUUUUUUUGAGACAGUCUUGCUGUAUUGCCCAGGCUGGAGUGUGGUGGCACAAUCACAGCUCAUUGCAUCCUCAAUCACCCAGGCCUAAGCAAUCCUCCCACCUUGUAGCUGGGACUACAGCUCACAGCACACCUGGCUAAAAUUUUUUUUUUGUUGAGACGGAUUCUCUAUGUUGCCCAGGCUGGUCUCAGGCUCCUGGGCUCAGAUGGUCCUCCUGCCUCAGCUUCCAAAGGCACAGGCCAAGUUGUAGCUUUGUCCCUUGCCAUCAUGCCCAACAAGAGGUUCUAUACCUUUUAAUGAAUUGACUUUCAUAAAUUGGUUAUGUUGGUGGGCAAAGUUCUUUAAGCUGGAAAUUGUAAAUUCCUCCUGAAAUGUUUUUUCAUGCAGUUACCAUGAACUAAUACUACAAUAAAGGAUGGUCUUGGGUGUCAAUUCUUGAA
rnacentral:lncRNA from 10 species